rnacentral:misc_RNA from 1 species
GAUGAAGAACGUAGCGAAAUGCGAUACUUGGUGUGAAUUGCAGAAUCCCGUGAACCAUCGAGUCUUUGAACGCAAGUUGCGCCCGAAGCCAUCAGGUUGAGGGCACGUCUGCCUGGGCGUCACAUAUCGUUGCCCAAUGCCUAUUGCAGUGCAAUAGGAAUUUCUAGGGCGAAUGAUGGCUUCCCGUGAGCGUUGUUGCCUCGCGGUUGGUUGAAAAUCGAGUCCUUGGUAGGGUGUGCCAUGGUAGAUGGUGGUCGAGUUAGAACGAUACCGAUCAUGUGCAUGCUCCCCAAAAUAUGGCCUCUAUGACCCACACGCGUAUUUUGACGCUCAUGACGAGACCUCAGGUCAGGCGGGGCUACCCGCUGAAUUUAAGCAUAUCAAUAAGCGGAGGA